rnacentral:tRNA from 1 species
GGAUAUAGCCCAGUUGGUAGAGUGCUUGCCUUGCAUGCACAAAGCCCUGGGUUCAAUCCCCAGUACCA